rnacentral:rRNA from 1 species
UACGGGGGGAGCAAGCGUUGUUCGGAUUUACUGGGCGUAAAGGGCGCGUAGGCGGCGCAACAAGUCACUUGUGAAAUCUCCGGGCUUAACCCGGAGCGGCCAAGUGAUACUGUCGUGCUAGAGUGCGGAAGGGGCUACUGGAAUUCUCGGUGUAGCGGUGAAAUGCGUAGAUAUCGGGAGGAACACCAGUGGCGAAGGCGGCUUCCUGGACCUUUGCUGACGCUAAGGCGCGAAAGCGUGGGUAGCGAUCCGG